CUCCACGUCCAUACCAGGAUAAAAGCACCUGUCGUCAGAUCACAGAAGUUGAGCAUCGUCGGGCCGGGAUAGUACUUGGAUGUGGGACCGCCUGGGAACUCCCAGUGGGGUGGAGU
rnacentral:rRNA from 1 species